rnacentral:lncRNA from 1 species
AUAAAAUGAUAAAAACCUAAACACACAAAAAAUGCUAAAAGAAAUAAACCUAAACAAGACUAACUAAACACCCUAAAACUCAACACAACACAACUAAACAUGCGACACACACACAUACAAUAACGCACACACAAAAACAGAACAUCACACUCACAACACAGGACAAAACACAACAAAAGACCUAAGACUGAACCAUUGGUCCCCGGCAACGGUGCCAAAAUUUUUAUGGGUGUCGCAGCCCAUGCAAAUUUAAUGUGCAGUUUAUAAAUGCAGUAUAAACUAAGAAGUGACUCCUAGGUCGUCUCUCAAGGAUCAAACUGUGGUUCGAGAAUCAGGUCUAAUACAAAGUGAGGGAAUUUAGAUGAAAGAUUUUUUGAAUGCUAAUGACUAAAUUAAAAUGGAAAUUAAACACGACCAAAUAUAAUUAACAAUCAUUAAAGUAAAGAUUAGAAUUAAAAUAAAAAUAAAAAUAAAAGAUAAGACACUAAAGAAAAUAGCCUGACUGACAAUUAAUUAAACAUGCAUUGCAUAAGAAAAUUAAGACAUAAAAAAAGAACAUGGUGAAUAUGAGUAAGAACAGUAGCUUAAGUUGGUAGAGCGGCACCGUGCAACAAUGGUAAAAUUUCAAUCCCUAAUCAUGUGAACUAUUUGAAUGCAAUUGUGAAUUAAAGAAAGCCUUGCUCCAGCGUGAUUUUCCAAAGGUAAAAAAAAAUCUUGUAAAAUGAAGUCAACAUAUCCUCUGCAGCCGUCACAUCACUAGACACCAUCUAAUCUAUUUUUCAUUUAUGAAAGCAAAAGAAAUGCUAAUUUUCCUUCCAGCAGCCGUGACCCACCUUCACUCCAAGCAAUUGAAUAAAAAUUCAUUUCUCCAAGUCCACCA